rnacentral:rRNA from 1 species
CCUACGGGAGGCAGCAGUGGGGAAUAUUGGGCAAUGGAGGCAACUCUGACCCAGCAACGCCGCGUGAAUGAUGAAGGUCUUCGGAUUGUAAAGUUCUUUUCUAAGGGAAGAAGAAAGUGACGGUACCUUAGGAAUAAGCCUCGGCUAACUACGUGCCAGCAGCCGCGGUAAUACGUAGGGGGCAAGCGUUAUCCGGAUUUACUGGGUGUAAAGGGAGCGUAGACGGCAGUGCAAGUCUGGAGUGAAAGGCGGGGGCUCAACCCCCGGACUGCUCUGGAAACUGUACGGCUGGAGUGCAGGGGAGGUAAGUGGAAUUCCUAGUGUAGCGGUGAAAUGCGUAGAUAUUAGGAGGAACACCAGUGGCGAGGGCGGCUUACUGGACUGUAACUGACGUUGAGGCUCGAAAGCGUGGGGAGCAAACAGGAUUAGAUACCCCAGUAGUC